AUGGUCAAAUUCCAUCACAUACAGGAGAAAAACAGCAAACACACCCAGAACUGUACUUCUUGCAAACCCAUAAACCGCAUCUGUGCUGCAAGAAUCAGCGAUGAAUCCCAUUUUUGACAUUCCACAAGUCUCCUUUAUAAUCACAUUACAUAUCUCACGUAUCAMAGUCCCGAGUUCAGCUUUAAAAAGGUGGCCACUUUUUAUUCAGCAUCCAAACCUUUUUUCCAAAACCUGAUUCCCCGACCCCAGACCCUUCCCCAGAGCCUCACACAUGCCUGAGAAAAAACACAAGUUUCCCCUCGUGCUCCUGUGAACCAUCUGCAGGGAAUCAAUAAAAUGCCCCGAACUGGAGGGCCGCCAGGAAUGUGUGCUCUCUACUGAAGAGACAAAAUGGAAACGAACAAGAGGAUGGAUUUUCUGAAGGGAAAACAACAUCCACACAAGGAGCAAUGGAAAACAACAAUCAGACGCUCAUACAGUAAAUCAGACUUCUGGCAGAUAGAGAAAGUCUGCACACAUUCUUCUGGGUUUGAUUGAAGUGGUUCCACUUUCCUUCAGAGCCAAACUACGGGAAGGACAGAAACGGCAGCAGAUGUCCCACUCUGAGUGAGUGAUCAUGACACGGUAAAGUUUCAGAGCGGUGCAGUCUUAACACCUAUUGUUAGUUGUGGGAAACAACCUGGAUCAAGACAAAACCUCCACACUCCUGGUAAAGUUUACAGGCUUUCCAUUUGUUACUCAUUUUCCUAUCAAUAAAAAUAAAUUGUUGGUGGUUUA